GCAUCCAAGGUAACUACAGGCGAAGAACCCUAAUUCCUGAAUUAAUUUAUGCUCAUAGAAUUUGAGCAAUGUUAAGGAGAGAGGUAACUACAAGCGAAGGAAGCAGAUUUUCAGGAGCUUCACAUUCGAAGAUGAAGAAGAAGAAAAUUAUGGAUGGAAGAUGUCACUGUGGUGAGUAUGUUGUCUUGUUGGAAUCUUUGACGGUACUAAUCCUGGAAGAUGGUUCAUUCGUUGCCCCUUUUCGAAGAGUCGAGAUUGCCAUUAUUUUGUUUGGGUUGAUGAAAUUGAUGGGGGAUGGCAAAGUUUGGCAAGGUGUUUGAUUAGAAGACUCAAUGAGCUUGAAUGUGAUGUUGCUAAUCAAGAUGUGACAAUUGUUCCAACAAACCACAGGGAGAGAAAUGUUAACAUGGCCACGAAGGUUGAGAAGAAGAUUGAAGAUGAAAUCAAAGCUAUGAGAGUAUGGCUUGUGUCCGUGUCUUGGGAGGUGGUGCUCCUUACACACACCCAAACUGCACCCUUAAGGUCUGUGCUUUUCCACUGCUUUGUGAAGUUGUGCCAUAUAUGCAUGGCACAAUACCUAUGCUGUGCCCCCGGUAUAACAUCUUCUAGAGCUGGAAUAAGACCCUGAAAAAAUGUAUAAA